UUCUGAUACGCCUUGUAAUGUUCAAUUUCGUCAUUGAGAAAAUAUGGUAAAGAUUGUUAAAAUAGUCAUUCAAAUAUCUACGCAUAGAAGGAUUAAUGGAAUAGGUGGUAUUAAAAAAAUAAAUUUUAUUCAAUCAAUGGAUAAUUAUGCGGGGAGAGGUUCAAGCGGUGGAAGCAUUGUUUCUACAAGAGGAGAGCAUCCAUCUAUAGAUUUCAAAAAGAAAGACCAUCAAAAGGGAACGAUAAUAACAUUGUUUCUACAAGAGGAGAGCAUCCAUCUAUAGAUUUCAAUGGCUUAUCAAUGGCUAUUUACGAUGUUGAAACAUAUAUUAAAGUUCAAAAAAUGCCGUCAGACGAAAGCUUCAAUAUAUAAAUUCAAAUAUAGUCAUUGAGAAAAUACAGUGAGAUUGUUAGUUCCUUCAUAGCGGAGGCAGCGAUGCUUAAACUGUUAUUAAUCCGUUUAACAUAUAUUAAAGUUAAAAAAUGCCGUCAGACGAAAGCUUCAAUAUGUAAAUUCAAAUAUUAAUCCGUUUAACAUAUAUUAAAGUUCAAAAAAUGCCGUCAGACGAAAGCUUCAAUAUAUAAAUUCAAAUAUAGUCAUUGAGAAAAUACAGUGAGAUUGUUAGUUCCUGCAUAGCGGAGGCAGCGAUGCUUAAACUGUUAUUAAUCCGUUUCCAUUCAACCAAUCAAAGUGCCAGAAUUCUUUGCAUAAAUUUGUUUCUGAAUAUUUGUUAGGUACAAGUUGCAUAUAUUUUACGCAAAUUAUUGAUUCAAAAUAUUUUGGCAGUGUUUCAUUGGCAUAGCAGAUGGUUGCCAGAAGGGUUCCCAGAUAUCAACGGGAGAGAACGCACAUAAAACUAUGUCUGUGUCAGUACGGUGCAGAUCAUUAUUAGUAUGGCUGACAACAAUGGAAUAACGGGGAUUUUCAAGAACAAGAUGGCAUCCGUUCACCUAACCACAUGUCUUGCGUGUGCUUUGCAUGUACUUUUGCUUUCACUCCGUGACUUUCCUAUGUCGUCUUUGAUUUGUUUCCACGUUCCCGUGGACGCAAACCGAGCUUCAUUCACAUGCAAUAACACUGUACUGCCAACUCUGUUUCCCAUCACCAAAAGACUAAUAUACAACCUCGGCUUUUUAUCCCUACAUACUUCAAUCUGAGAUUGCUGUACAGAGAGUAGAAAAAAGUCUGGUAGCAUCCGGUCUUGUAGCCUCGAGCAUCGCAUGUUUGUUCGUUUGUUAAAGAAAGGGGAUUCGAAGUUUCGGCCUUAGGGAUCAACCAUGGUAGUCUGUAUGUGCCAGAAGGAAACACAACUAUAUUGCUGUACGCAUAAGGUUCCUGUAUGUGGAGAUUGCAUCUGCUUUCCUGAACACAGUGCUUGUGAGGAAUGAGAUUAUUUAUUAGCAUAGGACAAGGCUAAUCAUGGAAGGAUUGUGCUCAGAUGUUUUUCAUAAUUUGUGCUUGCUUCUACUUUUGAAAGGAUCCUCAUCUCAAACUGGUUACACAUGUCCUUCAUGCAAAUCACAGUUGUGGUUGCAAGAUCUCUCUCUAGUUGCAAAGAAGGAUCAAGGAUAGCUAGAGGAUUCAACAUCAAGCUUCAGC